rnacentral:rRNA from 1 species
UACGUAGGGCGCAAGCGUUGUCCGGAAUUAUUGGGCGUAAAGAGCUCGUAGGCGGCUUGUCACGUCGGGUGUGAAAGCCCGGGGCUUAACCCCGGUCUGCAUUCGAUACGGGCAGGCUAGAGUGUGGUAGGGGAGAUCGGAAUUCCUGGUGUAGCGGUGAAAUGCGCAGAUAUCAGGAGGAACACCGGUGGCGAAGGCGGCUCGCUGGGCAGUGGCUGACGCUGAGGCGCGGACAGCGUGGGGAGCAAACAGGAUUGAGAUACC